AUUGAACGCUGGCGGAAUGCUUUACACAUGCAAGUCGAGCGGCAGCGCGGGGCAACCUGGCGGCGAGCGGCGAACGGGUGAGUAAUACAUCGGAACGUACCCAGUUGUGGGGGAUAGCCCGGCGAAAGCCGGAUUAAUACCGCAUACGACCUGAGGGUGAAAGUGGGGGAUCGCAAGACCUCACGCAGUUGGAGCGGCCGAUGGCGGAUUAGCUAGUUGGUAGGGUAAAGGCCUACCAAGGCGACGAUCCGUAGCGGGUCUGAGAGGACGACCCGCCACACUGGAACUGAGACACGGUCCAGACUCCUACGGGAGGCAGCAGUGGGGAAUUUAGGACAAUGGGGGCAACCCUGAUCCAGCCAUUCCGCGUGAGUGAAGAAGGCCUUCGGGUUGUAAAGCUCUUUCGGCAGGAACGAAACGGUCUGUGCUAAUACCACGGGCUAAUGACGGUACCUGAAGAAGAAGCACCGGCUAACUACGUGCCAGCCGCCGCAGUAA
rnacentral:rRNA from 1 species